rnacentral:sRNA from 1 species
CCCACGGCUGACGCCGUGGGCUUUGUUCUUUCGCCGCUCCGCGGCU